UUCCUUUGGGUUAGAUAAAAGGUAGGACCUGCCCACUGAUUUAUUGAAGGGCCGCGGUAUCUUGACCGUGCAAAGGUAGCAUAAUCAUUAGCCUCUUAAUUAGGGGAUAGAAUGAAUGGUUUAGCCAGGAGGGGUUUUAUUCAAUCUAUUGAGUAGAAUUUAGGUUAUAAGUGAAAAUACUUAUAAGUCCCCGUAAGACGAUAAGACCCUAUAGAUCUUUAUUUAUGGCGGUUGGCUUUGAUUUAGGGUCAAUAAAGCUGGGGGCUAUAAUUUUAGCUGGGGCAGUUAAAGAAUAAGAGUAACUUCUUUAUCUUAAGUUCUGGUUGAGAAAUGAGUUGAUCUUGUGUAGUAAAAGGAAAAAGUUACCUUAGGGAUAACAGCGUAAUCAAUUUAGAGAGCCCAUAUCGAUAAAUUGGGUUGCGACCUCGAUGUUGAAUUAAGAAACCCUGGUUAGGGCAGCUUUUAACUAAGGUGGUUUGUUCAACCAUUAAAUUCUUACA
rnacentral:rRNA from 1 species